GAUGAAGAACGCAGCGAAAUGCGAUACGUAAUGUGAAUUGCAGAAUUCAGUGAAUCAUCGAAUCUUUGAACGCAUAUUGCGCUCUCUGGUAUUCCGGAGAGCAUGCUUGUUUGAGUAUCAGUAAACACCUCAACUUCCAUAUCUUUUUUGAAAUGGGAGUUGGACUUGAGUGAUCCAACGCUUUUCCUCACCGAAAAGUGGCGGGUUACUUGAAAUGCAGGUGCAGCUGGACUUUUCUCUGAGCUAUAAGCAUAUCUAUUUAGUCUGCCUAAAAAACAGAUUAUUACCUUUGCUGCAGCUAACAUAAAGGAGAUUAGUUCUUGUGCUGACUGAUGCAGGAUUCACAAAGACGGCUUCGGCCGACUUUGUAAACUCGAUCUCAAAUCAAGUAAGACUACCCGCUGAACUUAAGCAUAUCAAUAAGCGGAGGA
rnacentral:misc_RNA from 1 species